GGGACGCUUACCACUUUGUGGUUCAUGACUGGGGUGAAGUCGUAACAAGGUAGCGCUAGGGGAACCUGGCGCUGGAUCACCUCCUUA
rnacentral:rRNA from 3 species